rnacentral:rRNA from 1 species
UACGAAGGGGGCUAGCGUUGCUCGGAAUCACUGGGCGUAAAGCGCACGUAGGCGGAUUGUCUAAGUCAGGGGUGAAAUCCUGGAGCUCAACUCCAGAACUGCCUUUGAUACUGGCGAUCUUGAGUCCGGGAGAGGUGAGUGGAACUGCGAGUGUAGAGGUGAAAUUCGUAGAUAUUCGCAAGAACACCAGUGGCGAAGGCGGCUCAC